GAAAACUUUCCUCGAAAAAAGGAAUUCGGAAAACGUGAAGGAUUAUUUUGAGCGGCUUGGCUUGUCUUUAAAAGGCCAUAAAUCGCUAGAAUAGAAAUGAUCAAUUUUGAAAUCAAUUUUCCAUCCAUAAAUACAACUUUCCACGCUGAUUCAAACAGUGGUAUUGUUUGGCCCAUAAAACUGGAGAUAAAGCCUAGCAAACAGUCGAUCCCGAGAGUACAAGAUAAAUUAAUUUUCCUGCAAAAAUGAAUAAAUUUCGAGCACGUGCAAGGAAUUUUUACUAGGCGAUUAAUUAAGGAAACGUCAAACAAACGGACAAACUCACAGGCAAAAUAUAAUGCGGUGCCCAAAGUUUGGGCACCGCAAUAUAUCCGAUAUUCUUAUAUCACUUAAUUGACCACAAUAUAUUCGAUAUUCUUAUAUCAUUAAUUAAAUUAAAUCUGGUUUACAUUGGUGAAACUGGCCGAAAUCUCUCAGUACGUCUUAAGGAACACAAGACGAAUUGCGAGAAAGCCGAGCAAGAUAAAUCUGCUGUGGCUAAACAUACUGCACUUGGACUUACGACCAUCGUAUAUAAAAUGGCACGAAGCAACCAUUUUGGCAAUUGAUAGUCAUGCAUAAGUUGAAAGUUCUCUCGCAAAAUGAGAGAGUCAAUUAAAAUCGAGAAGCACAAUACUAUAGAUCAGGAGGGAAAGCCACUAGAUAGUACGUGGCGUGCUCUCUUUAAUGUGCAAAAUUAAUUUCUCUUGUCUUGGAUGCGCACGCGUUAAUUGGAAUCANNNNNNNNNNNNNNNNNNNNAUGUGCCAUUUAAUUAAAUUUCAAAUGACGCGAGCCAAGAGAUCACGACACUUUUGUAUAUAAAAAGAACGUGUGAAUUAAACAAGUCACAUAUUAUUAGCACUGAUGAAGAUCCGUUGCAGUAAUAAAUUUACGUGGUGUUUCCACAAACAAAACUAUUAUCUUUUAUCGGCAUGCAAACAUACAAAGAACUUAUACAGUUCUAAUUAUUUUUAUGUCUUAAUAUGUCAUGUCAGGCUUUAUAAAUUAACAAAAAGCAAGUUCGAGGUUGCUGUGUAGAAUAUAUUAAAAAUAUUAAAAUAAAAGUGCAAAAUGUUUUAAAAAUUAUAAUAUCACUUGCUGCCUUAAAGUGCCUAUAACAUGAAAUUUUUUAUUUUCUUAAAUG
rnacentral:lncRNA from 1 species